CCUACGGGGGGCAGCAGUGGGGGAUAUUGCACAAUGGGGGAAACCCUGAUGCAGCGACGCCGCGUGUGGGAAGACGGUCCUCUGGAUUGUAAACCACUGUCCCCAGGGACGAAGAUGACGGUACCUGGGGAGGAAGCUCCGGCUAACUACGUGCCAGCAGCCGCGGGAAUACGUAGGGAGCGAGCGUUGUCCGGAAUUACUGGGUGUAAAGGGAGCGUAGGCGGGACUGCAAGUUGGGUGUCAAAUCUACCGGCUCAACCGGUAGCCGCACUUAAAACUGGAGUUCUAGAGUGAAGUAGAGGCAGGCGGAAUGCGUAGUGUAGCGGUGAAAUGCGUAGAUAUUAGGAGGAACACCAGUGGCGAAGGCGGCCUGCUGGGCUUUUACUGACGCUGAGGCUCGAAAGUGUGGGGAGCGAACAGGAUUAGAUACCCGAGUAGUC
rnacentral:rRNA from 1 species